GUUACCUACGGGGGGCAGCAGUGAGGAAUAUUGGUCAAUGGACGCAAGUCUGAACCAGCCAUGCCGCGUGCAGGAUGACGGCUCUAUGAGUUGUAAACUGCUUUUGUACGAGGGUAAACCCCGAUACGUGUAUCGGGUUGAAAGUAUCGUACGAAUAAGGAUCGGCUAACUCCGUGCCAGCAGCCGCGGUAAUACGGAGGAUCCGAGCGUUAUCCGGAAUGAUUGGGCGUAAAGGGUGCGUAGGCGGCCUGCUAAGUCUGGAGUGAAAGGUACCGGCUCA
rnacentral:rRNA from 1 species